rnacentral:rRNA from 1 species
UUGGAGGGCAAGUCUGGUGCCAGCAGCCGCGGUAAUUCCAGCUCCAAUAGCGUAUAUUAAAGUUGUUGCAGUUAAAAAGCUCGUAGUUGAAUUUCGGGAUCAAUAUGUUGGUCGUGCCUUGGUACGUACUGGCGUCAUUGGUUUCUACCUUCUGAAGAACCUCGAUGUCAUUAAUUUGGUGUCUUGGGGAAUCAGGACUGUUACUUUGAAAAAAUUAGAGUGUUUAAAGCAAGCUCACGCUUGAAUACAUUAGCAUGGAAUAAUGAAAUAGGACGUUUGAUUCUAUUUUGCUGGUUUCUAGGAUUGACGUAAUGAUUAAUAGGGAUAGUUGGGGGCAUUAGUAUUCAAUUGUCAGAGGUGAAAUUCUUGGAUUUAUUGAAGACUAACUACUGCGAAAGCAUUUGCCAAGGAUGUUUUCAUUAAUCAAGAACGAAAGUUAGGGGAUCGAAGACGAUCAGAUACCGUCGUAGUCUUAACCAUAAACUAUGCCGACUAGGGAUCGGAUGAUGUUAAUUUUUUAAUGACUCAUUCGGCGCCUUACGGGAAAC